GAACGCACCUUGCGCCCUUUGGCUAUUCCGAAGGGCAUGCCUGUUUGAGUAUCAUGAACACCUCAACUCUCAUGGUUUGCCAUGAUGAGCUUGGACUUUGGGGGUCUUGCUGGCUUAUGGUCAGCUCCUCUUAAACGAAUCAGCUUGCCAGUGUUUGGUGGCAUCGCAGGUGUGAUAACUAUCUACGCUUGUGGUUUUCCAUCAGGUAACCUUCAGUGAUGGAGGUUCGCUGGGGCUCAUAAAGGUCUCUCCUCAGCGAGGACAGCUUUUUGAACGUUUGAUCUCAAAUCAGGUAGGACUACCCGCUGAACUUA
rnacentral:misc_RNA from 1 species